rnacentral:rRNA from 1 species
GGGUUGUGAGGUUAAGCGACUAAGCGUACACGGUGGAUGCCCUGGCAGUCAGAGGCGAUGAAGGACGUGCUAAUCUGCGAUAAGCGCCGGUAAGGUGAUAUGAACCGUUAUAACCGGCGAUUUCCGAAUGGGGAAACCCAGUGUGACUCGUCACACUAUCAUUAACUGAAUCCAUAGGUUAAUGAGGCGAACCGGGGGAACUGAAACAUCUAAGUACCCCGAGGAAAAGAAAUCAACCGAGAUUCCCCCAGUAGCGGCGAGCGAACGGGGAGGAGCCCAGAGCCUGAAUCAGCAUGUGUGUUAGUGGAAGCGUCUGGAAAGGCGCGCGAUACAGGGUGACAGCCCCGUACACAAAAGCGCAUGUGCUGUGAGCUCGAUGAGUAGGGCGGGACACGUGGUAUCCUGUCUGAAUAUGGGGGGACCAUCCUCCAAGGCUAAAUACUCCUGACUGACCGAUAGUGAACCAGUACCGUGAGGGAAAGGCGAAAAGAACCCCGGCGAGGGGAGUGAAAAAGAACCUGAAACCGUGUACGUACAAGCAGUGGGAGCACAGGUUUACCUGUGUGACUGCGUACCUUUUGUAUAAUGGGUCAGCGACUUAUAUUCUGUAGCAAGGUUAACCGAAUAGGGGAGCCGGAGGGAAACCGAGUCUUAACCGGGCGUUAAGUUGCAGGGUAUAGACCCGAAACCCGGUGAUCUAGCCAUGGGCAGGUUGAAGGUUGGGUAACACUAACUGGAGGACCGAACCGACUAAUGUUGAAAAAUUAGCGGAUGACCUGUGGCUGGGGGUGAAAGGCCAAUCAAACCGGGAGAUAGCUGGUUCUCCCCGAAAGCUAUUUAGGUAGCGCCUCGUGAAUUCAUCUCCGGGGGUAGAGCACUGUUUCGGCUAGGGGGCCAUCCCGGCUUACCAACCCGAUGCAAACUGCGAAUACCGGAGAAUGUUAUCACGGGAGACACACGGCGGGUGCUAACGUCCGUCGUGAAGAGGGAAACAACCCAGACCGCCAGCUAAGGUCCCAAAGUCAUGGUUAAGUGGGAAACGAUGUGGGAAGGCCCAGACAGCCAGGAUGUUGGCUUAGAAGCAGCCAUCAUUUAAAGAAAGCGUAAUAGCUCACUGGUCGAGUCGGCCUGCGCGGAAGAUGUAACGGGGCUAAACCAUGCACCGAAGCUGCGGCAGCGAACGUAUCACUUAAAGCGAUUCAGCGGGUUACGAUUGACGGAGCGAAGCGACGUCAAAGCGUAUACAAAGUCGAGUCGGUUUAAGGAUACGUUCGUUGGGUAGGGGAGCGUUCUGUAAGCCUGCGAAGGUGGCCUGUGAGGGUUGCUGGAGGUAUCAGAAGUGCGAAUGCUGACAUAAGUAACGAUAAAGCGGGUGAAAAGCCCGCUCGCCGGAAGACCAAGGGUUCCUGUCCAACGUUAAUCGGGGCAGGGUGAGUCGACCCCUAAGGCGAGGCCGAAAGGCGUAGUCGAUGGGAAACGGGUUAAUAUUCCCGUACUUGGUGUUACUGCGAAGGGGGGACGGAGAAGGCUAUGUUGGCCGGGCGACGGUUGUCCCGGUUUAAGCGUGUAGGUGUGUGUUCCAGGUAAAUCCGGUUCACUUUAACACUGAGGCGUGAUGACGAGGCACUACGGUGCUGAAGCAACAAAUGCCCUGCUUCCAGGAAAAGCCUCUAAGCAUCAGGUAACAUCAAAUCGUACCCCAAACCGACACAGGUGGUCAGGUAGAGAAUACCAAGGCGCUUGAGAGAACUCGGGUGAAGGAACUAGGCAAAAUGGUGCCGUAACUUCGGGAGAAGGCACGCUGACACGUAGGUGAAGUGAUUUACUCAUGGAGCUGAAGUCAGUCGAAGAUACCAGCUGGCUGCAACUGUUUAUUAAAAACACAGCACUGUGCAAACACGAAAGUGGACGUAUACGGUGUGACGCCUGCCCGGUGCCGGAAGGUUAAUUGAUGGGGUCAGCGCAAGCGAAGCUCCUGAUCGAAGCCCCGGUAAACGGCGGCCGUAACUAUAACGGUCCUAAGGUAGCGAAAUUCCUUGUCGGGUAAGUUCCGACCUGCACGAAUGGCGUAAUGAUGGCCAGGCUGUCUCCACCCGAGACUCAGUGAAAUUGAACUCGCUGUGAAGAUGCAGUGUACCCGCGGCAAGACGGAAAGACCCCGUGAACCUUUACUAUAGCUUGACACUGAACAUUGAGCCUUGAUGUGUAGGAUAGGUGGGAGGCUUUGAAGCGUGGACGCCAGUCUGCGUGGAGCCGACCUUGAAAUACCACCCUUUAAUGUUUGAUGUUCUAACGUGGACCCGUAAUCCGGGUUGCGGACAGUGUCUGGUGGGUAGUUUGACUGGGGCGGUCUCCUCCUAAAGAGUAACGGAGGAGCACGAAGGUUGGCUAAUCCUGGUCGGACAUCAGGAGGUUAGUGCAAUGGCAUAAGCCAGCUUGACUGCGAGCGUGACGGCGCGAGCAGGUGCGAAAGCAGGUCAUAGUGAUCCGGUGGUUCUGAAUGGAAGGGCCAUCGCUCAACGGAUAAAAGGUACUCCGGGGAUAACAGGCUGAUACCGCCCAAGAGUUCAUAUCGACGGCGGUGUUUGGCACCUCGAUGUCGGCUCAUCACAUCCUGGGGCUGAAGUAGGUCCCAAGGGUAUGGCUGUUCGCCAUUUAAAGUGGUACGCGAGCUGGGUUUAGAACGUCGUGAGACAGUUCGGUCCCUAUCUGCCGUGGGCGCUGGAGAACUGAGGGGGGCUGCUCCUAGUACGAGAGGACCGGAGUGGACGCAUCACUGGUGUUCGGGUUGUCAUGCCAAUGGCACUGCCCGGUAGCUAAAUGCGGAAGAGAUAAGUGCUGAAAGCAUCUAAGCACGAAACUUGCCCCGAGAUGAGUUCUCCCUGAGACUUAGAGUCUCCUGAAGGAACGUUGAAGACGACGACGUUGAUAGGCCGGGUGUGUAAGCGCAGCGAUGCGUUGAGCUAACCGGUACUAAUGAACCGUGAGGCUUAACCUUACAACGCCGAAG